GAUUGGUGUUCCUGAGUGCAGGUGUCCCAAAAGUCUCAGUGCAGCUGGAAGUUUUUAUCCGCCUCAAGCAGCACUAAGACUUUUGGGACACUCUGUCGAAUCCAUUCUUGAUGA
rnacentral:precursor_RNA from 12 species